UCUUAAUCCUUCAUUCGGAGCAGAGGAGAGAGGGGGAGAUUGCAGCCUAUAAAAGGAUGGAGCUUCACACGGAGGAAGGGCAAGUUUGGGGGUUCUCAGGCUGAGUUCCCACCAAAAUAAAAAGGGAGAGAUAAUAGUUUGGGUAUUGUAGGAAUAACUCCCCACGGAAAGAAAAAAAAAUGUGGAAGGGAGUUUGAUUCUUAUUCAGUCCGUGUUGGGAUUAGUCUGAGAGGGAAGACGAAGAAGGGAGGAACCCAGUCAUGAUGAAGGCCUUCUGCGUCAUUGCUGCUACCCCCCAUACCAUGGAAGGCUGAUCUCUUCACUAGGGCUGGAUGCAGCCCUAACAAAAGGCCAA
rnacentral:lncRNA from 1 species